rnacentral:rRNA from 1 species
CCCUUAGAUGUUCUGGGCCGCACGCGCGCUACAAUGAUGAAUUCAACGAGUUUAUAACCUUGGUUGAAGAGCCUGGGUAAUCUUUUGAACUUUCGUCGUGAUGGGGCUAGACCCUUGCAAUUAUUGGUCUCCAACGAGGAAUUCCUAGUAAACGCAAGUCAUCAGCUUGCAUUGAUUACGUCCCUGCCCUUUGUACACACCGCCCGUCGCACCUACCGAUUGAAUGGUCCGGUGAAAUCUUCGGAUUGAGACUUUGAUUUCUUCACGGAAAACGCUGUUUUAAAAAGUUGAUUAAACCUUACCAUUUAGAGGAAGGUGAAGUCGUAACA